rnacentral:rRNA from 1 species
AACCACAGCUAUAUCACCCUGCAGGGCUGAGCCUGGUUGCCCACUGAAGCUAAGCAGGGUUGAGCCUGGUCAGUUCUUGGGUGGGAGACCUCCUGGGAAAACUAGGUUGCUGCUGGAUA